AAUUCUCAACCUUUUCAAUUUCCUUGAAAAGGCUUGGACUUUGGAGGCUUUUGCUGGUCUCUCUAGAGAAGCCAGCUCCUCUUAAAUGAAUUAGUGGAGUCCUCUUUUCCGAUUCCUUGACGUGAUAAGAUUUUCUCUACGUCCUCGGUUUGGCCCUGUAGACCUGCUUCUAACCAUCCAUUGAACCU
rnacentral:misc_RNA from 1 species